GAUGAACGCUAGCGGCAGGCUUAACACAUGCAAGUCGAGGGGUAUAGUUCUUCGGAGCUAGAGACCGGCGCACGGGUGCGUAACGCGUAUGCAAUCUACCUUUUGCAGAGGGAUAGCCCAGAGAAAUUUGGAUUAAUACCUCAUGGUAUGUGAGAAUGGCAUCAUUUUCACAUUAAAGUCACAACGGCAAAAGAUGAGCAUGCGUUCCAUUAGCUAGUUGGUAAGGUAACGGCUUACCAAGGCAACGAUGGGUAGGGGUCCUGAGAGGGAGAUCCCCCACACUGGUACUGAGACACGGACCAGACUCCUACGGGAGGCAGCAGUGAGGAAUAUUGGACAAUGGGCGCAAGCCUGAUCCAGCCAUGCCGCGUGCAGGAUGACGGUCCGAUGGAUUGUAAACUGCUUUUGUACAGGAAGAAACACUGGUUCGUGAACCAGCUUGACGGUACUGUAAGAAUAAGGAUCGGCUAACUCCGUGCCAGCCGCCGCCGUAAUAC
rnacentral:rRNA from 1 species